UGAGUAGGCGGUAAUAUGUGUCAGAUGUAAAAGGCUAUGGCUUAACCAUAGUUGGCAUUUGAAACUGCAUUACUUGAGUGCAGGAGAGGUAAGUGGAAUUCCUAGUGUAGCGGUGAAAUGCGUAGAUAUUAGGAGGAACACCAGUGGCGAAGGCGACUUACUGGACUGUAACUGACGCUGAGUCACGAAAGCGUGGGUAGCAAACAG
rnacentral:rRNA from 1 species